GUCCUUCACCCUAAUACUGUUGUAGACAGGACUGGGUUAUAGACAGGACUGGGUUGUAGACACUACUGGGUUGUAGACACUACUAGGUUAUAGACAGGACUGGGUUAUAGACAGGACUGGGUUAUAGACAGGACUGGGUUAAAUAUAUAUAAAUAUAUAUGCCAUUUAGCAGACGCUUUUAUCCAAAGUGACUUACAGUCAUGUGUGCAUACAUUCUACGUAUGGGUGGUCCCGGGAAUCGAACCCACUACCCUGGCGUUACAAGCGCCAUGCUCUACCAACUGUGCUACAGAAGGACCAGGGUUGUAGACAGGACUGGGUUAUAGACACUACUAGGUUAUAGACACUACUGGGUUGUAGACAGGACUGGGUUAUAGACACUACUAGGUUAUAGACAGGACUGGGUUAUAGACACUACUAGGUUAUAGACAGGACUGGGUUGUAGACAGGACUGGGUUAUAGACACUACUAGGUUAUAGACAGGACUGGGUUAUAGACACUACUAGGUUAUAGACAGGACUGGGUUAUAGACACUACUGGGUUAUAGACAGGACUGGGUUAUAGACAGGACUAGGUUAUAGACAGGACUGGGUUAUAGACAGGACUGGGUUAUAGACACUACUGGGUUAUAGACAGGACUGGGUUAUAGACAGGACUAGGUUAUAGACAGGACUGGGUUAUAGACACUACUAGGUUAUAGACAGGACUAGGUUAUAGACAGGACUGGGUUAUAGACAGGACUGGGUUAUAGACAGGACUGGGUUAUAGACAGGACUGGGUUAUAGACAGGACUGGGUUAUAGACACUACUAGGUUAUAGACAGGACUGGGUUAUAGACACUACUAGGUUAUAGACAGGACUGGGUUAUAGACACUACUGGGUUAUAGACAGGACUGGGUUAUAGACACUACUAGGUUAUAGACAGGACUGGGUUAUAGACACUACUAGGUUAUAGACAGGACUGGGUUAUAGACACUACUAGGUUAUAGACAGGACUGGGUUAUAGACAGGACUGGGUUAUAGACAGGACUGGGUUAUAGACAGGACUGGGUUAUAGACACUACUAGGUUAUAGACAGGACUGGGUUAUAGACACUACUAGGUUAUAGACACAGUGCAUUAUUUCCACUCUGCACACUUCUUCAUACACUAGCUUCAUACUUCAUACAUUCCCAGUCACAGACAUACUGUUCCUCACACACUUCCUA